CGCCUGUGAAAUCAGGAAAUGGAGACUUCUGCGAUGACGGUCAUCUGAUAAAACCUCAACUCUGCAUCCCUGUGACUGAUCCCAGACUGGCUGAAUUCCCUCCCUGUCUGUUCAUUGGCUUUCAUUGCAACGGAGCCCAUAAAUCGAAAUGUCCGUAUGAAGACUUGAAGCCCAGCAUGGGACCAAAAGGAAAACAUCCAGAUGCUUGGAAUGGCAAAACCGAUCGCGCCUCAAUGAAUGGACGAAUGCAGAAGACUCAGAAGAAAUUUGGUCCUUGGAGAAACAAACGGCAUGAAAAGCACAGCCAUGCAGCUCAUGGAUACAGUGGUGAGCCAAAAUCCAAAGGUGGAGAUGGAGAAAACCUGCAAUCCUGAACUCUAAUAUUCUGCAAGACUUGUUUUUUUAAAGAUAUUUAAACUGAAUUCAAUUAAAAUAUAAUUUUCUAUUUGGUA